CGCUUUUGUAAAAAAAUAAACAGCACAACAACAACAGCACUCGACGUCAGUUUUGUACCAAAAAAUGAAAAAAAUAUUCAGAAAGAAGGCUCAUAAAAUUCAAAUAUUGGACAAGAACUAUAGAAGAUACAGAGAAAUUAUAAACAGCAGAAAUGAUAGGCAAUUUCAAAUUUGCAGAAGUCAACAAAUCCUAAAUGGUGAUCAGACAUCUUGGUUUUCAUGAUCAAUAGGUCAAUACUGAAGAGGAAACUGAAAGUUGAUAUCUAUCUACAUGGUGCGCUAAUUGGAUUAAUGUGAAAUGGAAUGUGUGCUUUCCUGCAAAAAAGAAAUAGGAAAUUUCAUCAAAAUCACAUGAUAAUGGCUAUAAA